UUUUUUUUUUUUUUUUUAAGUUUUUGUAGAGACGGGGGUCUCACUAUGUUGUGAUCCUCCUGCCUCAGCCUCCCAAGUCUUGAGAUUACUGGCAUGAGCCACCAUGCCCAGCCCUCAAAAUUUUAAAUAAAGAUAAGUGCUCCAUGACACCAUCCAUCAGAUGUGUCCUUAGUGUGGCUUACAGAUUCAGCCACCUUCUCUUACCUGGCCCCUGGGGAACAAGGAGCUGCUUUGACAGGACAGCUGGCCAGCCACGAGGGUCCCGAGAACGCCCCCCUGCUCCUGCUCAGAGUCCACACCCACACACAGUGCAGAGUCCAUUCAUAUCCACCAAGCAGCACCGUAAAAUAUUGAGGAGAGGGAGUUGUUUGUAGGUUUGGAAUAAUAUCUGUGUCUUUACCUGUAUAUGCAUUUCAUGACUUGUAAAGCCCCAUCCUGCAUCUCAUCAGAUCUUGGUGCAGUCAUCUUCUGAGACCUCAAAGUAAGAAUCACGUGCCCAUUUUACAGAAACUGUCCAUCAAAAGGAAGCAGAGACUUGUCCCAGGGUCCAUGGUAAUCGGCACAGCCGAGACUCAAAUACUGCCGAAAUCUUUGUCCUUGACUCCAUCGGGCUGUGCAGAAUUCACUUAUUUUCCUCCAGUUGGAGGGAAUUUGCACCCAAGGAGAGUAUUUUGCUUGUUUUACCCUGGGCCAGGUCUAGAGUGAGGCAAGAGAGAUAUUCACUUCGGGUGCAUGAAGUACAUUUGUUGGGGAUGCUGAAGGCUUGGCUGGGGCUUUUUGCCUUUUAUGGACUUAUAUUGCCUUAUAUUAAAUAUCUUUGGAGCCAGGUGAGGCCAGUAAAAUGUUACACAAAUAGGAGCUAUCUCCUAGAUUCUACAGGUCAUUUCCUGGAGUCAAGACCAAGCAGGUGUGGGGGGCCGGGUGCAACUUCUGUUGGAAAGAAGCCCAAAGCACCCUUUGGAAGACGGUGAGUUUUUAGGGAUGGGCCUUUGGUUUCCUCUCCAAAUCUGUGUCAGCAUCUGAAGGGAUGUCCAAAGGCUAGAUUGGUGUUUCCUGGCGUGGGUGACACAGAUAGACAAAGAUGGAGCUGAAAGGCAACUUGUUCAAUGAUGACCCGUCUCCCACGCACGGCCAGUGAGGGGUGCUGAGGAGCUGUUCGUGGCCAAGGUUUUCCCAUUCUUGUGCUGUCUUCCCUAGCCCCUGCCUCCACCCUCCUCAGGGACUCUGCUUCUCUGGGCUGUGCCAACGUCAAAGGUGCCCAGUCCUCAUUUUCCAGGGCUCAUGUUUCUAGAUGCCUCAUGCCCCCUCCAUUUGUUUCUCUGAGGCUGCCUGAUGCAUGAUUGUUUGGCUUUUUCUCCCCUUCUGCAUGCAAGUUGCUUCUUUUUGGAAGCAGAAAUGUGAGUGUCUUCCUACAAUCUCUUUUUUCCUGAAUCCUACUCCAGGGGAAAUUUCUGAUCUUUCACUUCUCCCGAAUUCCUCCUGGCAUCUCCAUCCCAAGGGUAGGGUCCAAGUACCCAGACUCCCCCCAGGACUGUUGCAGUUGCCUCUAAAGAGGUCUCUCUGCCUUGGGUCUCACCCAUUGGGAGCCCCAAAACCAGCCUGGGAGGGUGCCUUAACUAACUUCACCUCUAUCUCUGCCAGCCUCCUCCCUCCCAAGCCAUUCCCCGUAGACUUCAGUCCAGGAGCAAAAUAGCUGGCUUGUUAUGGGAACGGCUUCAACACAAAUCUCGUAUCUCCUUCUCCACGUGAAGGGAGAGCCAUCAUCCUGGCCUAUAUUGAAAUUCUGGAGCUACCAUAAGACCUCUCAAUACCUGUGUGCCUCAGUUUGCUUAUCUAUAUAAUAGGAAUAGUAGUAGGAUCAACCUUUUAGCAUUGCUGGAAGGCCUGUAACUGUUGCAUCAAAUGAGGAGAACUCAUAAGGUACAGGCACUGAACAUUCUCCCCUACCUUAACACCCCCAUUCUCCUUCCACCCUAGUGCUUGCUCCAACCUGCUCUUGGGGACUGUUUCCUACUCCUUGAAGAAAUCUUGGGGAAUUUCCAUGCUCACUCUUAGAUACUGCUAUUACUAAUUAUAAUACCAUGGUCACA
ensembl:lncRNA